CCGGACAGUCACACGUCACACGUGACAUUCUGCGGCUAAGCCUUUUAUGGCCUUCAUAUUUAUUGCAAUAACCGUAGCAGCGUCUGAGGUUUGAGUUGAGUGGUUGGAGGCAGAAGUAAAGUGAAGCUGGCCAAGGGCAUUCCCGGUUGAGUCUCGAGCACGGCCUUGUCACUGUCACCGUUAACGCUUCGAUGACUUUUCCAUAUUGACUUUUCCGUUUCCUUUGUCCCCGUUCAAGUGGACACUGUCAACACUCUGGUCUAAUUGAGCUUGGACGAAGACAGAGCUUUCCAAAGGUUUCUGUUUUCUGUAGUCCAGUGCCCCAUUGAUGGUGUGUCCUUUUGGGCAAACAAAU
rnacentral:lncRNA from 1 species